CAGCAAUUGAAAGGAGGUGAUCCGAUGUCGAGUGUUUCACGUUCAGGACCGUUCGCCCUGCGCGGUCAGGUGGUGUCGGAGCAGCCUUCGGCGCGCCUCGUCUAGCGUAACGGCUUGGCCAAGGGCGACGUUUCCUGGCUAAACACGGAAAGGCCCCGCUUCGGCGGGGCCUU
rnacentral:sRNA from 1 species